AAGCAUAGUGAUUAAUCAGAAAAACAAUAUGUAAUUAUAUAUGUGUUUUCCGAUGGUCUUAGGCGACUUCUAUGAAAGGAGCAGAGUGAAUAUUUCGACCCCCAAAGGGGUCGUGACCCACAGGUUGAGAAUCACUACGCUAUGCCUUUCUGGUACAUUGUGCUUCUCACAUUGUGCUGUGAUGAAUUUUUUCAGGUAGUUAUUCACCAACAUGCAAACCACUUGCUGUAUAUGGCUCUGGUUUAUGAUCUUUUUUGUAAAGGUGUUUUUUGCAUUUGUACCUUUAAUUUAUUGGUUCUGUUCUCUGGCUGGGAUGAAUUGAAAGCACAAUUGUGAUCUGUCAGCAGGUAGAGGUGAAGAGAUAUUGUGGGGAUCCCAAACUUUCAGUGCUUCUGAAGGGACAUCACAAUGGCAGAAAAUCACUGUUUUUUCCAAUAUUUGCUUAUUUUCCAUUUCUGCCCAAAGUCUUGAAAGCAAGACUGCAGAACUUUAUGGUUCUAUAUUGCAGCCUGGUACCUCUAUUACUGGUAAAGUCAAAGGUCACUUUUUGUGCUUCUGUGAACAAUAUGAAUUAUAUUCUCCGUUCACAGUGUGUAUGACAUAAGUCUCAGCAAUAAUCUGUAUGCCAUGAUGUACCAAUUUCAUAAACUGGUGUCAUUCGUUGUAAGAAUUUGAGGAUUAGGAUUAAUCUGAGGAUUUUUAACCACAAUUAGGACAGAAGCACUGCUUCAAUCAAUAGUGAGUGAGAGAGACUGCAGUAAAUUGGUUAAAAAAAUGCCUCUUUUGAAUGUUUUCCACAAAUUUUCCAGGGCCUGUACUUGUGGGAUGUUUGUGUACAGAUAUUCUCAGAACCUGCAUAACUUUCUUGUGGCUGAAGUCAUUGGUAGAGCAAAUAAUCUUAUGGUGGUGGUGUUUCUGCUGGCCCCUCUAGGGUGUUCACCUCAAGGUUUAUGCUCAAUAGACAGGAUCUAAAAGGUAUAGGAAGGAUAAUCUUGUAGUCAAUCCUAAGUUCUGUAUUUUGUAACCAGUCAGCAUCCCUGUUGAUUCUGCUGGCAAAAGUCUUUACUGCUUGCUGAUAUUUGCUGCCACUGAGGCAAGGCUAUUCCUCCUAUGAUAUGAGAACUGACAUGCAAAAAACUGCAGUUUUCUUACGUGUUCUAUUUGGUGAACUUUGAUGUACAUAUAAAGCUGUGAAACUGUCGCACAUGAAACAAACUUAUCUGUCAACAUUAUACACAGUGGAGCAAAAAUAGGUUACAGGUGUGAGCACCCAAAAUAGAGAGUUUAUUUUAAAAACAUUUUUAUUCACUCUUUUCGGGAGAUAGGAAGGGAGGGAGAAAGAAAGAGAAACGUAUGUAUGAGAGAGAUUUGCUGCCUCCUGCACACCCUCUACUGGGGUUCAAGGAUCUGAAAUGGAUCUAGUGAACUUGAAGGGUCAGGGAUAAUGCCCAACCAACUGAGCAACACUGGUGAGGUCACAGUAUAUUCUUGUAUUAUUAUUAUUUUAUGCCAUAUCAACAGCUCUAAACCUGCUUUUCACACACCCCAUAUUUGCCUCUUGCCCUUUUAUAAUCUCUCUACCUUCCCAGCCCUCCAUAGAGGCAUUGAUAUUCCUUCCAUUACAACAUAUUAGCUCAUAUGUUUCAUAAUUUUAAAGGCACUAGAAGGUGUGUACUCUAACAAAUAUUGGUUUCCUUCAUGCUACACUGUUAUUUUGAGAUUCAACACCAAUGCUGAUGUGAAUAAUUAUUUUAUUGCUGAGUAGUAUUGUGUUCUGUGAAUUACCACUUUAUCUAUUGAUCUAUCUAUGAUUUUGGUUAAUUCCAUGUUUGGGGUAUUAUAAAUAAAUCUAUUGGGAAUAUUUGUGUUCA